AGUAAUUUUUUACAAUGUUAUUAAUUUUGACUCUUAUAAUUAACAAAUAAGUAAGCAAUAAACAAAGCGUAUCAUGUUUAGUAUAUUAUGUUAUUUUUGUGAAGAAAUGGUAACCUUUUUCGGCAUUGAUUAACCCAAAAUACACUGCAAGAUAUGGGGUAAAAAAUUGGAGCUCCUGCUCCAAAUGUGGGUUGGAAAAAGUUAUAAGUAUAAUUAAAAGACUCUUAUAAAGGUAAACAUCAAUGAAUUACUUUUUGAAAUUGAAUCAUGUAUGGAUCUAGAAUAAAACCUCAACAAGUUGGAAAAGAAAAGCAAUUUAUUACAAAAAAAAGAUAAUGAAAGGUUAUGUUGAAACAUUUAUAAAAAUGUUCUUAAACAUAUAAUACCCACAAUAGUUACAAUUAGAUGAUUAAAAAAUAAAAACGGAAUUAUCUGAUGAUUUAGAAUGAAGAGGAACAUCUCAAUACAUCAAGAUGUACAAUAAUAAAUGUAGAUAAUAACUUUUUACAACAUUUUUAUCACAUAGAAGUGUCCCAUAGGCCUCUCAGUGUGGAUAUUUAGGUUCCUAUUGAGGAUACUUGACAUCAUAGUCUCCUAUCAUUAUUAAGUUUUCUGUAAAAUGGGUUAAAAUUUAUAUAAAUAAUCAUUCUGGAAGGAAGAUUUCUUGUACUUCAUGUGUUAAAGCUGAAGAAUAUAGUACAACAUAUUACAAGUAAUGAUUUUAAAGAAGCUUCUAUUUAUCACAAGCCAUAAAUUUCAUAUAAAUAACCACAAGAUUAAUACAUUACAAUGAAGCUAUAGAUAUCUCUUCACCAGCUUGAUAAAACUUUGAAUUAAAAAAUAA